UUGACCUCGGAUCAAGUAGGANCC
rnacentral:rRNA from 1 species